ensembl:lncRNA
CUGGCAGGAAAGCAGGCUACUGGCAGGAAAGCAGGCUACUGGUAGGAAAGCAGGCUACUAGCAGGAAAGCAGGCUAUGGGCAGGAAAGCAGGCUACUGGCAGGAAAGCAGGCUAUGGGCAGGAAAGAAGGCUACAGGCAGGAAAGCAGGCUACUGGCAGGAAAGCAGGCUACGUGCGGGAAAUCGGGCUACAGGCUACAGACAGGAAAGCAGGCUACAGGUGGGAAAUCAGGCUACAGGCAGGAAAGCAGGCUACAGACAGGAAAGCAGGCUACAGACAGGAAAGCAGGCUACAGGCAGGAAAGCAGGCUACAGACAGGAAAGCAGGCUACAGACAGGAAAGCAGGCUACAGACAGGAAAGCAGGCUACUGGCAGGAAAGCAGGCUACUGGCAGGAAAGCAGGC